ensembl:lncRNA
CAGUAAUGCUUCUUUAUUUUUAAGAAAUGUCCCUAGCUGUUAAUGUUCCAUAGCAUGGCUUAUUGUUUCAUAUAUUCACAGACAUUUAAUGCCCCUGGGCAGGGAUUAUUUGGGUGGUUAUGUUUUUCUCUUUUCCCUGAAGGCUUCACAGACCUUCCCAAAGUUCCCCUGCAGCUUGGUGAGUGCAGUUCAGCGAGUGCAGUUCAGCAUGUCCCAGCUCCUGCAUGGAAAGAAAGGAAAGGUCUUGCAGUUAGAUUCAGCCAUUUAGUUUUCUUAGGCAUCAUAUGGUUUCCUACCCUCCAGACAGCUUAGUUCUCCAGCCUACAGCUCUGGGUUUCCCUGCUGACUUGGUCAUGUGCAGAAAGUACAAUCCAAUUACUUCUUCCAUGUGGAGAAGAUGCAGAGAGUCAGCAGUGAUAGAUAGAUCCCUGUAGGGCAGAAAGACCCAUUCUCUGCAAAAUAAUGAACCCUGUAGCUAAAAGAAAAAAAGAGAGAGAGAAAAAAACUUGAAAAAACACAGCUUCACAACCGAGAGCCCACAGCCCUGAAUGAGUUUAAGUUGAAAGUUCAUGUAAUCACUGCUUCGGGCUCUCUUCAGUGUCAGAGGGAUCUCAGUUUACACACUGGUUAUAUGUUUAAUCUUGCUUUAGUGGCUGCAAUCAAGUCAAAAGUUUUUACUGUUUGGGAGGUUUUUUGAGUGGAGGCCAACACCAUGUGUAGGGAGAGAUGGCUUGCUUCCAUUCCACAGACCUGAAAUAAUCAGUACCCCAGUGCGAGCUUCACUUUUUUCAGAUGCACUAUAGGCCAAAACUUCUUUCAUAGCCCUGGACUUCUGCUCUGGAUAUUCUUCAGAGGUGUGAGCAUGGACAUUUCUGAAGCAAGUACUGACAUUAUCAGUCACAGCAGCCCCUGUGCUAGUGAUCUGAUUUUCAAAGUGAUGAAAGGAAAGCUGCUGGUGCUUUUUCACCUCUGAACAUCAGACAGCGUGCUCACAGCCUUCUCUGGAUGGAGGCAUUUGAUAUUAGCCACUGUUCUGAAAAUUGUUCCCUCUUGCUAUGUUAUGAACAUGGAUGCAAAAACCUAAGCACUGCUAUCAUUUGCAAUAAGAAGCAGUGAAUAUCCACUUAUCACUGCUGCAACAUAAACACAUUAGUUAUAAACACAGAUAAUUGACUGUCUUUGAUGUCACUGUAUUCAUUAUUAUGAAUUUCUUUCCCUACUGUGGAAGUCAGUAUAUUUGGGGAUCUUAAUGGAAGCAGUGCCAUUUGGAUAUGCGUAAAAUUGUAGAUCUUGCAACACAGUCCUCUAACUGAAGAUUUUGGAAAACUUUUCCUCUCCCAAAACCCGAUAUUGUCAGUUAUGGGUCUGUGAAAUGCAAACAUCAUUCACUAUGUAGCAGAGCAUGGCUCAGAAAAUCUUCCAAUACUAUUUUUCCACUUUGCAGCUGCAGCAGUGUUCACUUUCUCCACUUGCUGAGGAGCCUGAACUUCACCACCACAAAUGAAAGAACAAAUACUUUACAGUCAAGCACCCACUUCACAUUGCACAGGCCCUGGUGUAAUUCAGAAGAAGCAGUGCACGCCGUGUGAGUGCUGCCUGCAUCAUCUGGUCAGAGAAGAGACUAUUCCCCCAUGUGAUGUGUAACACCCUCAGCAAAGCCUGGGCUGGCUGAUGGCAGCCUUUCUCCCGUGGAGGAGCAUUUGCUUCUGCAAUAGUUUCACAGAAACCAGUGGGUGGCAGAAUCAGACUCUGACUGUAGCCACCUCUUCCCAGGUGACCUGCACGUCAGAAAUGGGUAUUUUUUUAAUUAAGAACCUGGCAAACACAUUUUAAAUACAUGCAGAGAUAUUUUUCAGCCUGCCCACAGCCAGUUUAAGCCAUGGAGGGGAACUUCUGUGGGCUGCAGAACAAGUGGGUGGUUUUCAAAAGCCAGUCUGAUGCCUAACAACAGGUGAGUUUAUUAGCCUUUCCACCUGUGAGGCAUAGCGUCUGUUUCCAUCCAGCAUGGGCAAACCGAAUUGCCUCAAAGACUGCUGACCCGUCUGUCAAAAGUCAUUGGCAGCAGGUCAGCAGGAUCAAACUCUGGUGUGGGGCUUGUGGAAGGAGCAACCUGCCACACGCACCCUCACCCAGGGCUGCAUAAAUCUCACUUCUUUAGGAAUUCAGAUUCAAAAUAUAUUUGACUUCUGCCCUCUUUAUAUUAUGCAUUUCAUUCAGCUGUGCUUCAAUCACUGUUCGCCAGCCUCCCCUGCUCUUUUGAGGCUGGAGAAGUCAUAAAUAUGGCAGCCCCCUUUGAGUGUUAAUGCUGGAUGCCGUCCAUGACUGCUGAGCUGCAAUAUGCGAGCCAGCGAUACCACAAAGUGAGAGUUUAUAUUCCUUCCCUAUUACAUAUUUUUAGUGUAUAAAUCCACAGAGCAGAAGAAAUUUACAGGGGAGUGAGUGGUCAUGGGGAAAGUAAUCUGCAUAUAAAGCAGUGGCAGAUACCUUUUUCUUCCUGGAACUCCUGUUGGGAAGUUUCACACCAGGCUGAACCACUGGUGGUUUUUUCUUGUGCUUGAGUUAAGGGCAUGGAGACUAACUGACAUUUUUUAUCCAUUAUUCAUUUAGCAAUGGCUCCAGCGAGCAACUUAAUGUCAUAUGUUUUUCACUUACAUGAAUUGCAAUAGACUCUUUUCUUCUUCAAGCCUGCCUGCACUGGGAAAAUUAUCUAAGUUGUUUUACAAUUGGCAUAGCUUAAACUGUUUGGGAGAUGCAGCAAAGACCUGGCUAUGAACAGCUUGAGGUAAGUGAUCCGUUUUUAUUGAUGUGGUUUCAGGCUGUGGCCUGAACUACAGCUACUGUGGCAUAACACCACCUACUAAAAACUGAAUGAUUAUACCACUACUUAAACCAGAAAUCAUAGAAUCAUAGACUGGUUUGGGUUGGAAGGGACCUUAAGGCUCAUCUAUUUCCAACCCCCUGCCAUGGGCAGGGACACCUUCCACUUGACCAGGUUGCUCAAAGCCCCAUCCAACCUGGCCCUGAACACUGCCAGGCAUGGAGUAUCCACAACUAAUAUCUUGGCUUUCUUGAAAUACACAAUAUCUAUCUCCCUUGGACUGAAAUUACUUCUAUUCCCCAAAUUGCUCAUUCUCUCUUGAAAGGACUAGCUUUCAUUGGGACACUAGAGUCUUUCUUCCUUUGUUUCCCUAACCUCCUUUAAACGUGGUAUUUUAAGUCAAUGUAUCAUUAACAAACCCAGAUGAGAUUUUCAGUGCAGCCUUUACUGACAGAAUCAAAAUUACAUGAAAUAUUGCAUUUUGAGGCACUGAUCUGUAUGCAGUCAAGAAAAGGUAGAUUCUGAUCUGGCCAGGUGAAAUGCUCCCAGUUAAAUCGCAUCACAGGCUCUGUGCAACCUUUGUGCACUAAUAAAAUGGAGGGGCUGGAAAGAGAAAAAUUCACUUUCUGAGUCUAAGAGGAAGGAUGUGAAUUAAACCACAGCUGAAAACGUGGAGCAGAAAACCUUGGUGGAUCCCCAAGAGACAGAGAUGGUAGAUUGUUUGCCGAAGGAAGGCGGCUGAGGAGGAGGAAGAGAGGUGCUACACAGAAGGGAACAUUCAUCUCUGCAUUCAAGACCUCUUGGUCCCGACAUGAGAAGCAUUUGAGUCAUUUGAUGUGGUGGAUUAAAAAUUAUCCCAUAGGCACCAAGGCACAUUUUCUGAAGGCUAGUGAGAUUUGCUGCAUUUCAGCUGGAGUCAGAUGCACAUGCCUCACUAAAGCAUGAGCCCAAGUCCUUGUGCAAGAACACUUCCCUCAGCGUGGGAUGAAUUCCUGCCUCAAAGGCAAGGUACUGGCCAGGUAAAGGUAGCAGAGAUCAUGCCCAAGGGGCCAUGGUCAGUCGGAUGUGCUCAGCCCGUGUCGUGGGAGCACCAGAAGACUGUGCUUUUCCUGCAGCUCCUGCCUCCUCUCCCUACUGGAGUUCUCACACAGAGGGGCAGGGGCUGCGCUUCACAACGUGCCAGGGAUAUGGCCACAGGGAAGAGGAGAAGGAAGGCAGAGAAAAUGCCAUUGCCCUCAUGGGAACUGAUCCAGGGGUUCCUGUGAAACUGGGGGGCAUAUGGUCAUAUGAAGAGAUGUUCGGUCCAUUUCAAAGGAGAGAGAGAGAGGUUCCUUUGAAGCAGAAAUGGGCUGUAUUUCCGCUCAGUGCUCUCCUAUCUUCUCAGGUGGACUAUGGCCACAUCUCAGGCCAUCUCUGGAGUGGGUUUGGCUUCCAGGGCCCCCAGGCCUAUGCCAGAGCUUUACAGUAUGGUAAGAGGUAACUGGAGCUGUUCACCUACCUCUGCAAAAAGACUGCCGGUCACAUUUUCCCUGUACUUUUUCUUUCCAGGGCUAGCCAUAAAGGAGAUUCAGUAGCCUGUUGGCAAGACCAUGAGCCCUGGUUUACAUCAGCUGGUGAGGAGGACAUCUCCAUGUAGUGGAAGGCACUAACUUGUUCUCAUCUCCCUAUCUUCUAUCUGCGUGGGAGGAUGCCUGAUUCCCAGGCUGGAUUUUCUGGCUGUCAAAUGACCCAGCACAGGACCCUGCCCUUGGUGCUGUGAAACCCCCUAGAAGGAAAUGCCUGUCUCUCUCCAAAGCCAAACCAGCCUUACACCCCAGGCUAAAAGCUAGGUGCCCAAAGUUAGGCCAUGCAAAGGUCUCCUUUGAGCUCUGCAUUGAGUGUAAAGGAUACCUGAGAGCGCACACAUCACCUUUCCAUCACACCAGAAUUAGUUCCUGUGCAAAACAGUUUUGAAUUUGCAGAGAUUAGAGGGUGUCAUGUCCACCCUUUUCUUGCUUCCAAGAAGCUAAAAUUCUCACAUAAAAUCCAAGCUAAGAUGGUUUUGGUUGUAUAAUCAUUAAAAAGCAUGCUGAACAAUGAGGCAACAAACCCCUUAUGUCUUCUGAGUAAUGAUUGUAUGUGGUCCUUGGUGC